GGGUUGUGGAAUUUGCAUCUUAUAGUGAUAUGAAGAGUGCACUGGAAAAAUUGGAUGGCACUGAGCUGAAUGGACGCAGAAUUAAACUGACUGAAGAUCACAGAAGGCAUAGAAGCAGAUCUCGAUCAAGGAGUUACUCAAGAUCUCGCAGCAGGUCCAGGUCUACAGGAUCUUCCAGAUCGGACAGCCGGUCCAGGUCCAGGUCAAGAUCAAGGUCCAGGUCCAGGUCCCGCUCUCGAUCCCGGUCCCGCUCUCGAUCCCAGUCUCGUUCUCGCAGUCGUACACCUAAAAAGAGUUACUCUCAGAAAAGCCACCGCUCCAGCUUGCUAGCUUCUUCCCCAUCUCCCUCUUCUUCUAAAAGAAAAUCUCGUUCUAGGUCGAGCUCUGCUCAUAGCCGUAGUUAACCUGCUCUUAGAGGUGUAUUAAUGCAUUUAAUUUGGUUCAAGUUUCUUGAAGACUUGAGACAAAUUAUAUAUGAGAACCGGGAGGGGAAGAGUUAACGUGAUGAAAGGGUAACCUCCUCUUACAUUGCCAAAGUGCCUGUCAUCAAAUAGGCCAUCUCUGUGAGGAGGGGCUGUCGGCUUUCUCCUUUCAGUGAAGUCUGGAGUGGGAAGUCUUUUUUAUUUUUUUUCCCUGCUAUUAGUAAACAUUUCUAUCAUAGAUAUAUUAUGUACACAUAAUGCUGAGGUAAUGGGAUGAGACAAUAUGCUGCUUUCUCCCUCUCUUGCCCCCCACUUUCUGCUCCACCUCCAAGGCCUUUGACUUUCAAAAUACAAUGUUAGCUUUUGUCCUUGGUAUUAAGUCCGAGAACAGGAAGUAUAGAUUUUAUUCCUUUAAGGUGCUGGGGCUACUUUUCUGUGUGAGAAUGAAUGGACCAGCUGAAUUUAGUUUAGAGUUCACUUUUUUCCCCCCGUUGCUUGGCUUAACAGGCUGUUUAAGUUCCAGCUUUAAAUGACCUUGAUAAUAUGCUUAAUUUGCAACAGACUUUCAGGAAUACACAUUGGUCAGUUGAAUAUUGCUCAUUUGGACAGUGAAUCAAUACAAUGUUAACCAGUAAUGAAAGCUGGAAGUUCCUGUUAAAAUGAGACGUACCAUCCAGAUGUCAGGAUUAUUUGGAAUCCAUUAGAAUAAUUUUCCAGUAAUUCACUAGUAUGUGGUAUUGUAUGUAGAGGCCUUAUUUGACAGGUGACUCCAUAAAACUGCACAGAAAUGUCAAUAUGCAUGUCCAUGUUUUUGAUGUUUAUAAAAGUGACAUAGCUUUCAUACCCAAAAGUAUGAUACUGAAUAACAUGUGUAUGACUAGCAAUAGUCUUGAUGGAAAGGAAGGUUAUUUUAGUAAUGACAGCAGCAAAAAAAUCCCAGGAAAAGUAUAGUCAGUUGUGACAGGAAAAGUUAAUCAUGUUAAAGCGUAAAGAGGGUAAUUUCUUUAAAUCUUCUCAAUGCACAGUUGUUUUAAUUAAUAGAAAUUUCCACUGCAAAUACUGUUCGUUCUUAUAAUUUGGAAUUAGAUUUUUUUUUUUUAACUUCUGUAUUGUUAAAGAAGGGAAACAUUUUUGGAAAAAUAUGUAAAUUAAUCCCAAAGUCUUACGUGUGUUUAAAUGUACCAUUCCUAAUAAAAUAAAACCUUUUUCUGGCUUACUUU